rnacentral:sRNA from 1 species
GGAAGCAGCUGAAACCCGGCCAACAGACCGGGGGUUAAUUUAGCCAGAAAAGCGAGCGGGAGGGGCUGUAGGGUGCUUGUCAAUUCGCCGCCAUGAAUGUGGUUUUUGCUGUGAAGCAGUACAUUUCCAAAAUGAUAGAGGACAGCGGGCCUGGUAUGAAAGUACUUCUCAUGGAUAAAGAGACGACUGGCAUAGUGAGUAUGGUAUACACACAAUCGGAGAUUCUACAGAAGGAAGUGUACCUCUUUGAACGCAUUGAUUCUCAAAAUCGAGAGAUCAUGAAACACCUGAAGGCAAUUUGUUUUCUUCGACCUACAAAGGAGAAUGUGGAUUAUAUGAUUCAGGAGCUCCGAAGACCCAAAUACACUAUAUAUUUCAUUUAUUUCAGUAAUGUGAUCAGCAAGAGUGACGUGAAGUCAUUGGCUGAAGCUGAUGAACAGGAAGUUGUGGCUGAGGUUCAGGAAUUUUAUGGUGAUUACAUUGCUGUGAACCCACAUUUGUUUUCCCUCAAUAUUUUGGGUUGCUGCCAGGUAUGGAAGGAAACGUUUAAUUUAUCAGUCAAGAGUUAAUUCAGCAAAUACUAAUUAUUUGUAAGAGAAAAUUCAAAUAUUUUCUCUGAAUAUAUGUUUUUAACAAA